AUAUUGGUCAAUGGACGCAAGUCUGAACCAGCCACGUCGCGUGAAGGAAGACGGCCCUACGGGUUGUAAACUUCUUUUGUAAGGGAAUAAAGUGAGCCACGUGUGGCUUUUUGCAUGUACCUUACGAAUAAGGAUCGGCUAACUCCGUGCCAGCAGCCGCGGUAAUACGGAGGAUCCGAGCGUUAUCCGGAUUUAUUGGGUUUAAAGGGUGCGCAGGCGGGAGAUUAAGUCGGCGGUGAAAUUUUGCAGCUCAACUGUAAAAGUGCCUUCGAAACUGGUUUCCUUGAGUGUAGAUGAAGUAGGCGGAAUUUGUGGUGUAGCGGUGAAAUGCAUAGAUAUCACGAGGAACUCCGAUUGCGCAGGCAGCUUACUAAACUACUACUGACGCUCAGGCACGAAGGCGUGGGGAUCAAACAGG
rnacentral:rRNA from 1 species